UGAUGAGUUUUCUGGUUCAGGCAUCAGUCUGCAAUUCAAGAAACCUACGUUCUAUUUCCAGUUCUGCUAUGACCUUGGACAAAUUGUUUGGCCUCUCUCUGUGCCUCAGAUCCUCAGCUAUGAAAUGGGAAUAAUAAUACAGCUGUCCCGCACAGGAGUGUUGGAAAGACAAAAGGAGGACAGCUUUGGACAGCCCUGCUGCUGAUCAGACAGGGAAGAUCCUGACAUUGUUAUCAGCAUUUGACGAGGCACAGAAAAGUGCCAAUCCAAGAUUAAACCCCAAAAUCACUGGACUCAAAGCUUAUGCCAAGAUGUUUGGGAAGACAGUCAAAACGGAGGGUUUGAAUGGAGGCCAGUCUAAUCCCCCUUUCCAUCAAGAAGGCACUGCUGAGCUGAGUGAGGAUCUCCUGGAAAUAAAUCCUUUACACGGAAAGAACUUCAGGAAAUCAGCACCGCAGGUACCCAAGAAAUCCAAGAAGAGAGCCUGCUUUUGGAAAUACUGCGUUCAGAAAAAGUAGGUUUUUCACCCUUCAAUCAACAGACCAUUGUGGUGACAGAGGAAUUUGACCCUGACAGAAGAAUCUUCAACAGCUGAAGACCUCUCCACACAACUGCUUAAUAAAGUAACUCUUUGACCAUAUUUGCCUUGCGUAUAAUAUGUAUUUAAAGGAGAAAUGUAAAAAUAUUUUUAUUUUAAAUUAUAAUAAAAUAAUUUUUGUACAAGC